GGGCCCAUAGCUCAGUCGGUUAGAGCAGCGGACUCAUAAUCCGUUGGUCGAAGGUUCAAGUCCUUCUGGGCCCA
rnacentral:tRNA from 1 species